UGUCAUUUAAAAAACACUAUUAAAAUUUCGCGCUACAUACUCAAGUUCAAUUUUUAUCGCCUCCUCCCAAUUAAACCCUAGUUCCCAUUUCAUAUGCGUCGUUCCCAAUUAAACCGUCUUUUCCUAAUCAUCACACCCAAACCACCAAUCUCUCCGUUCUCCUCCUCCUCCUCCACCGUCGGAGUUUCGUUCACUGAAGAUGAAGGUUAUACUUAUACUAAAUUGCUUAUUUAAAAUCUAUGGUUUCUGAUUGGUGGUUCUGUUUUAGGUUUGGUGUUAUACUAUCAUGUGAGUGUUUUCAUCUUAAAUGACUUAAUAGUUUUGGUUUUGAUUUGUUGGAAUUGAACUUUUUAGAUUAUUAAUUUGGCAGAAUUGAGUUUUGAAAUUUGGAUUUGUUUGUUGCAGCCACCUAGAAAUUUACUUUAUGAUAUACUCAGUUAUGAACUUAUUAGUUAUCAACUGAAUGGUAGUUAUCAAUUUAGAAUGUUUGUUAUCAAUUUAGAAUGUUUGAUUGUUAUGUUUUACAAUUAUUGGUAAGUUAAAUGGUUUGGAGAUUUUGGGUUUUGUAAGGUAUUUGAAGAAGUGGCUGGUUAAGUAUAAGAAUUUUCCGCAGUGGGUUCAGUUCCUAAAUGAGAAGUCACCGAUUGAAUUGUUUCAGUUACGUCUGUGGUUUGAACCGGUUUAAAUUGUGAUUAACGUGUACCCUGUCUUCGGCGGUAGUCGCCGCAUCUCAUACCGCAACUCCUCUGCCUCGACAUUCAGCCUCUGUCACUGCUAGUAACAGGCUUUUGUUUAUUUAGUAAUGAUUUGUGUUACUUGAUGGUCGUUUGUGUAGGUUUGGUUACUGAUUCAGAUCUGUUGUCACAUUAGUCAUAUUUUCUAAUAUAUUGUUCUGAUUGUUUAGUACAUGUGUGCUUAGUAUGCUUUUCGUGGUGGUAGACUGGUAGUGUAGAUGGAAUAGUAAUAAAAUGAGCGAAUAAGUUGCUAUUUGUUUUCUUGUUGUUGAUUAGGUGUUUGAGGUAUUGCAUUGUUGCUGGUAAAAAAGGUGCUUGAAGAUCUUGAUUAUUUGUCUGUAUUAUCAGAUCUGAAAAUGGUUAGUAGUAUCACAAUGAUUAUUUGAGGUAUUGCAUUGUUUCUGCUAAAAGACACAUAUAUUUCCAUUACUCAAAUGAUAAUCUUUGGUUAUUAUCUAUUUCGAUUCUAAAAUAAUUUAAUUAAUAAUUUACAGACAAUUCAAACAAUUGAUUAAAACAAUUUAACUUCAUGUUUGCAGGCACUUAACUUAAUAGAAGGGAAGGAUGUAAUGGUGCUAAUGGAUUUAUGAUAAAGGGUUGUCUCUUUGAUAAUUUUGUUUAAAACAUGAACCUUGAGAGAGGCUCGAUGCCAUUACUUCUCUACAUAAAUACACAAAUGUAAGCUCACUUAUUACUCCUCCAGCACACCAAAAAAAUAUUAAUACUUUAUUAGAAUUUUGUUUCUUGUUUUUCAUUUAGUGGUAUUUUAGCCAUUGAGGCUUUGUACUUUUGGUAGAAGGAAAACCCUCUAGGUGGUGUUUAAAUAGGAGGAGGUCAUGGGCAGAGGCGUCUCCGAGAAUUCAUGUACCCUGUUCGAGCUUGAAAAAAUGUGCCCUUCCGUAAUGCUUUUUAUUAUUUUUUUAAUCAAACGGGUAUUGGACUCACUAAACAUAAUGCCAAUGGGUUAACUUCUAAACCAUAAAAAAUUGUUUUGUAAAUGGACCUAUCUUGGAGUUGGUAUGUAAAUACUAAUGACAUGUAGGGACACCUAUAAUUACAUGCAAGGACAUCUAUAAUUGCAUGUAAGGACCUCUAGUUAACAACUAGGCCUUUCAACUAUUUACAACUAACAUUAUACAUGGUUUCAAUGAUACUAAAUUAGUGUUCAAUCAUGUUAAUGAAAUUUGUUAUAAAGUUCUAUACUUCAGACAUUUUUAAUUUAGACAUUUUUAAUUGUGUUGUGUCCGUGUCAGGAGGAAGUACUGAAUGUGGCUACUAUGUGAUGAAUUUCAUGAUGGAGAUCUUACGAAAGAGUUGAAAAAUACUGGUUAAUGACAAUGUUGGGGAAAAGAGAAAGAGUAGAGGAAUACUUGGCUAUGGAUAUGGAUGGCAUUCGCGAAGAAUGCUUGAGUUAUGCAACUACCUUUAUUUUUAAGUGACAAACCUUAUCUUAGGUGUUGAAUGUAUUACAAACAAUAUUUUUGUUAACUUGAAAAUAUUUGUAAUAUACUUGACAAAUGAUUAUGCAAUGUGUUGUUU
rnacentral:lncRNA from 1 species